AUGUGCCAGCUCUCCUGCUGGAGCUUUUCUAUGGAAUAUUUGAACACAAAGAGUAAACUGAAGUCAGGUCUGCUCUGGAGCGUGCAAAACUUGUGCAAAACUCUUUCCCCCUGUUUAUUUUCUGUCCUGGAAAGCAGAGGCUGGGGUUCCUGGGCACUUCCUAUUAAAUGAUACCAUGAAACAAAUUUUGUGCAGAAAGGGGAAAGGAGCUGUCUGUGAGAGGUCAUCUGGCCAUGACAAAAGUUUUCUGCAUUUUCACUCAGUAAGGUCUUAAAAUAUCUUAGUGUGUAGGAAUGCCUGGCUUCUAAAACUCACCAGCUGAGUCUUAGAGGCUUCUUUGCCGAGCUGUUUUGAGGCAGCCAAAUUGGCCCCAGGCAGGGACUCUGCGCCUGCUAUCCUGGUGUGCCCAGGGAUCUCUGGGCCUUCACGCCGGCACCGAGAUGUUCUCGGGAAGGCCCUCAGAUCCCCGGAGCAGUCUGGGACACGGGCAAGAUCCCCUUGCAUUUCGGGGGCAGAUUGGGCCCCCCUGGAGGGACAGUGCUGUUGCUGCCCCCCGGGCUGGGACACUCGGAGAACUCCAGCGCGCACCGAAAUUGUUCUUCGGGGAGCUCCUCUGGGUGCCCCAAGCUGGGGAGCUCAAAGCAAGGUCCCUGGAAUGGAUUCAGGCAUUCCUGAGAGUAUCAGAGGUGUAGCUGUCUGUCCUGGCCAUGGAGCUCUGGAAUGGACUGUAACUGGGUUCUAAAAGUGGUGCUCCAGCUGCAAAAGAAGUGUGGGAUUGGGAUAAAGGAAUGAGUGGUGAUGGUACCGUUGGCUGUUUUCUCUUCAGUGGAAUUGUGAGAGCUGCAGGAGUGCAAGGUGUGGGUUCCAGUCCCCAGCAUUUGGUUUGCACAUGUGUUAGUCAGACACAGGUCCAGCUUAAUUAGUCCUUAACAAAGGCAGAAUUAAGGACUGGCUUAAUUAACCAAUUAAUUAACCAAUCACUAUUAAGGUGAUGGGUGGGACAAGGGUUUAACUGGGAAAACAAGGAGUAAUUCCUCAGUUGUUUAUUUGCCAAGCUCCCCUAAACCUUUGCUAGGAAGAGAUUGAUUGGGAAAGUUGAGGCAGAAAUCAAAUUGAACAAUGGAGAGAUUGAAAUUGUAAUUCCUGCAACUAACUGUGUGAGAGCAGCAGCUCUUCUCGUGCAGGAAAUAACUCCUGUCAGCAGCACCGUCCUGACUGAAGUGGCAGAAGAUGGAGUUGUUCCUGUGGUGUGGGCCAGUGGAAUUCCAGGAGAAUGGACAAGGGCAGACCCUGUAGGUAUUCCCAUGAAGCUGAGAUCUCUCUAGAAUGUGACUGCAAGAACCUGCAAAGAAACCCAGUGGCAAAGAGGAUGGAUCAGUGCAGGACGUGAGAGAAGCACCUGAAAUGACAAAGUUGAGCAGCUGACAGUCUUAGAUUUCAAGAUGCCCUUUGCUGCAUCUCCUGGAGCAAGGCAAGCCAAGAAACCUUUGCUUUUGAAGGAGAAAAUGCAGAAAUGGGGAAGGAAGACAAGAAGCCACCUGAGUCCUCCGUGAGCCACAGGCAGUCCAUGAAGUGCCUUCCUGGGAAUGGUAGGACGGUGAGGACUCUGGAUUGCUCCCCAUGGAUGUGUGGAUCUGCCCUGCAGAAACUCCCGGAAUUGACGGUGACGCCCCGACCGAUGGAUUGGACGCCCCAGCCCGUCCGUUCCUGCCCAGCCGUUGGGUCCCUGUCAGGCGGUGGGACUCCCAGCCUGUCCAGGGGGCUGUGGCGUGGAAACUGCCCAGAGCUGAGCCAGAGGAUUGACAGGGACUAACCCAGCGAGGUGAAGAAACAAGGAAGAAGGGAAAUGAGGCAGCAGCCAAGCAGCACCAAGUUCCUCUGUCAGCAGGUGAGUUGUUUUGAGGCUCCUAAGGCAGACACUCGGGACUUUGGAUGCUCCAGACAGAGAAGACCUCCAAGGCCCCUUGAUGAAGCCCCUCAGAAACCUUAUCGGGGUAGGUGUGUAUGGUUGUAAGUGCUGGGGAAUGUCCUGAGCGUGGAACAGGAACGCAGGGAACAAAAUGAACCCUCACGGAAUGCUGAGUCCUCCCAUCAGCUGCAGCGGAGGCACCUCUGUGUGCACUGUGGGAGCUGAUGGCCAGGACCCCCGGUGGGCUGGGAUCAGUGCAGGGUGUUGUCAGCAAGGAAUGCCUGGCUUCUAAAACUCACCAGCUGAGUCUUAGAGGCUUCUUUGCCAAGCUGUUUUGAGGCAGCCAAAUUGGCCCCAGGCAGGGACUCUGCGCCUGCUCUCCUGAUGUUCCGAGGGAUCUCUGGGCCUUCACGCCGGCACCGAGAUGUUCUCGGGAAGGCCCUCAGAUCCCCGGAGCAGUCUGGGACACGGGCAAGAUCCCCCUGCAUUUCGGGGGCAGAUUGGGCCCCCCUGGAGGGACAGUGCUGUUGCUGCCCCCCGGGCUGGGACACUCGGAGAACUCCAGCGCGCACCGAAAUUGUUCUUCGGGGAGCUCCUCUGGGUGCCCCAAGCUGGGGAGCUGAAAGCAAGGUCCCUGGAAUGGAUUCAGGCAUUCCUGAGAGUAUCAGAGGUGUAGCUGUCUGUCCUGGCCAUGGAGCUCCGGAAUGGACUGUAACUGGGUUCUAAAAGUGGUGCUUUGACUGUAAAAGGAAUCUGGGAUUGGAAUUAAGGAAUGAGUGGUGAUGGUACCGUUGGCUGUUUUCUCUUGAAUGCAGUUGUGAGAGCUGCAGGAGUGCAAGGUGUGGGUUCCAGUCCCCACCGUUUGGUUUGCACGUGUCCUGGUCAGACACAGGUCCAGCUUCCUCAGUCCUUAACACAACCGAGGGAGAAUUAGGGGAUGGCACUGGGAAGGUGGUUGGUGUGACAGAGGUGAAAGUGGGAAACGUUGGCUAAUUCCUCAGUUUGUCUAUUUGCCAAAAAUACCAAAACCUCUGCCAGGCAGAGAUUGGUUGGAAAAGUUGAGGCAGAAAUUAAAUUGGAAAAUGGGUGAUGGGCAGUUGGGCUGCAUGAGCUGGGAGCCUCUGGGAUCAGAUUGGACUGGGCAGACAGGGAGCAGUUUGUCCCGUGGAGUUGGGCUGGGUUUGUUCAGGAUGCCUUUGGAGGCAGGGCUGGAGAGGCUCCUUUGUUGGCUGUAGUGGUGGAAAGUUGUCCCAGGAGGGCUGGAGCCCUUCGACCUCCUGCUCCCCCCGUGAGCCCCGACGGGACCGUGCACUUGGCAAUGGAGGGCCCCCCAUUGCUGAGUCAGCGGUUCCGGGGGCCGGCAGGAAUGGGAUCAGGAUGCCGAGCUCCAGCCAAGGCAGGGCAGGAAAUGGUGCAGCCACUGAAAGAAGCGAAGGCAGAGUGAGAUGAAGGCCAAGCUCCAGCACAAGGGUGGGUGAGAAAAGCCCAUGGCCCUCAGGUGGAGCUUUGAAUUCCUUGGAAAAAUGCAUCUUGUCAAAGGGCUCAGGCCCUUGUGGGUGCUGGAGCAGAGGCCUCUUCAACUGAUGGUCAGCCUAAAAAGGUGCAAGGACAGCAAGUUUUGACGAUAGGAUGAGGUGGCAAACAAAGUGAGGUGGUACAGAGAAAAGCUGAGCUUCAGAUUGGUCCUCUGCCACAGCAGCCUUGUGGAGUGCUUAUUGCUGUGCCUGACUGUGGAAGGGCAGUGGAUAUUUCCAAGGGCUGCCUUGUGCUGAGGAACACUGGGGUCAGUUCCUUUUCCCUGGGCAGGACAGGCAGGGCAUGUUUACCUGGCCCCCUCAAGGGUGGCUGGAUAAGGCUUGAUCACCAAAUGCAAAGAGUAAAUAGAGGGGGUCCAUUGGUGACCUUUGGGCAUCAGGUAGAACAACUCACUGCUCACCUCUGGGGGGACAUAUUUACAGCAUUCUCACCAUCUGAUAGGAAGUUUUGGAACACUUUAUUCCAUCCAUUAAUCAUAGUAAUUACACUGAUUUUAUGAACAAUAGGGAGUUGUUGUCUAUGGUAUCAACUCCAGGAAGUUGUUUCUUGCACGCCUCUGUCCUGACCAGGGAUCAAAGGACCAAAGGGAAAGGAUGAGAAGUUCCCUGAGAGUUGCUGCCCAGGGGCUGCUGCCCCUGAGGAACAGGGUGAAGGCUGUCUGUGCUCAGGUGCCCUGGCUGAAGUGUGCAGUUGGUGUGAGUGUUGCUGCAGAAAGGCAGGCCAGGUGUGUGCAGCUGUUCUGUGCCCUCCACCCUCGGCCCUUAGCCACAGUUCUGUCUCUUGGGGCAGUCAGGAUUUGAUGCCUUGCUCAUUUUCUUUUUUAUCCCAUAAAUCUGUAUCUGAUGUGUUGGAUUGUCUUUGUUUAAACUGUUCCUAUUAUUCUAUGACCGGUGAGUCGUUUCCUUGAGUGCCCUGCCUGUCAGCACAACACCAGGUCUGUUCAGCAGCUGGAGACUGGGCAGGUUUGGGGGCUGUGGUGUCCCAGCUCCCUUUGCCAUCCCUGCUGAAGGGUGGGAACUGCACAGAGCCAGCAGCGUCCAGCUGGAGGAUCCAGGAGGAUGCAGCUCUGCUGUUCUGGGAGGGACCCUGAGCUGGUCCAACUGUGGCAAGAAGAACAAGUGGGCCGUGAAGGUUUGGAGCAGUCUGGAAGGUUCCUCGUGCCCAAAGGAUCCUGGCAAGUGAAGUCCUGGAAGAGUAUGGAAUAUUGAAAAGUGCCUCAGUUCUCCUGAAGCUCAACUUUCUAAAAUAUCCAUGAAGAUAAAAUUCCUCUCCAAGGAGCUGUUGGGUCCCAAAUCCUCUUGGAGGGAGAGGCAGAAACUCCCACUGCUGCUGGGGCUGAACUGCUUGCAGUGCCCAGGUAGGACUUGGCCCUGAUGUCUGAGUGCUCUCCAGUCCCCCAGGAUGGAUCCCAACUGUCAGCCCCUGGCUCCAUAACUUGAGGAGAGGGUGUUCCUGCAAGCCCAGCUGCUGUGCUGGUGGUCCUGUGUGCACCUCUUGCCCUGGCCUGCUGUGAAUGUAUUUGUGUUGCAGCUCAGUAAAGUCCCAAUAAAGUGGUGAUUGUGUGA